rnacentral:rRNA from 1 species
UACGGAGGGUGCGAGCGUUGUUCGGAAUCACUGGGCGUAAAGGGCGUGUAGGCGGUCCGCUAAGUCUGAUGUGAAAGCCCUGGGCUCAACCUGGGAAUGGCAUUGGAAACUGGCGACCUAGAGUGCGGUAGAGGGUAGUGGAAUUCCCGGUGUAGCAGUGAAAUGCGUAGAGAUCGGGAGGAACAUCUGUGGCGAAGGCGACUGCCUGGACCAGCACUGACACUGAGGCACGAAAGCGUGGGGAGCAAACAGG